GACGAGGGGUCCAAGCGUUGUUCGGAAUCAUUGGGCGUAAAGCGGGUGUAGGCGGCUCUAUAAGUCAGGAGUGAAAGCCCCAAGCUUAACUUGGGAAGUGCUUUUGAUACUGCAGAGCUUGAAUGUGGGAGAGGGUAGUGGGAUUCCAGGUGUAGUGGUGAAAUACGUAGAUAUCUGGAGGAACACCGGUGGCGAAGGCGGCUACCUGGCCCAACAUUGACGCUGAGACCCGAAACGC
rnacentral:rRNA from 1 species